rnacentral:rRNA from 1 species
GAUGAACGCUGGCGGCGUGCCUAAUACAUGCAAGUCGAGCGAACAGACGAGGAGCUUGCUCCUCUGACGUUAGCGGCGGACGGGUGAGUAACACGUGGAUAACCUACCUAUAAGACUGGGAUAACUUCGGGAAACCGGCGCUAAUACCGGAUAAUAUAUUGAACCGCAUGGUUCAAUAGUGAAAGACGGUUUUGCUGUCACUUAUAGAUGGAUCCGCGCCGCAUUAGCUAGUUGGUAAGGUAACGGCUUACCAAGGCAACGAUGCGUAGCCGACCUGAGAGGGUGAUCAGCAACACUGGAACUGAGACACGGUCCAGACUCCUACGGGAGGCAGCAGUAGGGAAACUUCCGAAAAGGGCGAAAGCCUGACGGAGCAACGCCGCGUGAGUGAUGAAGGUCUUCGGAUCGUAAAGCUCUGUUAUUAGGGAAGAACAAAUGUGUAAGUAACUAUGCACGUCUUGACGGUACCUAAUCAGAAAGCCACGGCUAACUACGUG